rnacentral:lncRNA from 1 species
UGACGAAUUGUUUGUAUAACUAAAGCAUGAUGUUGGGCUGUUAUUGUUGAUUAUAGUCCUUGUCUUUAACGUUCCUUAUAGAUUGAAGCUUAUGCCGGACGGAUCGAUUCUUUAUAAUUGAGCUAAAAGUUGAAAAUGAAGGUAUGUAAGAUUAAAUAUUAGCACGUCUUAGUACUUUUAGAAUAUGUUUAUUUUUAUUAUGGCUUUUUAAUUAUCAAUAUUAUAUUACAUAAUUUUAUUAUCUUUAUUAUUGAAUAUUUUAGGAUAAUCCAUAACACAUCUCAUAUUUUGUAUUAUUUUCUUGGAUAAUACCUUAUAUAGUUGUAUCUUACUAGGAUUAAAGAAAUAUUUUGAGCACAAGUUAUAUGUUUUGUUGUACGAAAAUUUUACUGGAUUUUUUUUUGAAAAAACCCGAAAACCCGAGAAAAACUGAGAUUGAAAAAUUCGAGUUUUAUUAGUUUGAUUGGGUCUUUAGAUUUAAUAACUCGACACAAUUUAUUUGGUUUGGUAAUUGCAAAAUCCGAACUGAUCCGAACUAUGUACACCCUAAUUGUAUACUCUAUAAUUACUGUAGUUCCAACCUUGUAGGUUGGCUAAUGCUUUUUAUGUUUAUUUAUGAAUUAUAUAUGGUGUCGAAAAGUUUUGAUCACACUAAAUAUUUAUCUCGAUUCCACACUAACCUUAAAGGCAUAGACUUUAAAAAUUAUUUGUUUGUCACUAAUUUAAUUUACCAUAAUGCAUAAGUUGCAUGCAUAUAAGUGUUUUAACAUGCAAAAUUUAAUUCAUGAUACGACCAAAUAUUAUUCUUAUUGUUUCGUCACUUGUUAAUAAGGUAUCAAAUGAAAUCCGGGGAAAACAAAAUGAACACUUUACUAAGCAAACACUUUGUAUUGAAUCACUUUUUAUCAUUAUGACAUAGAUCCAGUUUUACCUAUUUUUACUAAGUAAAUAAUGUAGCAAUACUGCUACUACUGUUGUUUCAAUUUUAUCCACGACUUGGAAUCUAUAAUAGAAUUCAUAAUCAUAAAAGAAUACCAGUUUUAUUGAUAUUUGAUGCCUUUCUUUCUAAGUGGUUGGUCUCAUUAAGUCCUUAUAUGGUUGGUCAUUAUUACUAUAUAUAACAAGGGACAACCAUGGACUUUUGUAGUUCUCACAAAAGUUUCCAAUAAAAUGUUAACUAUUCCAUUAAUUACUUCUAGGUACUGACCUUAUUUCCACACACAACAACAGAGAAAAAGAUGGCGGUUUACUGAGUAUUCUGGUUUCCAAGAGUAAGCGAGUCAGAAGCCUAUAUUACGUGGGACCCAUACAACCAUGGUAAUGUUGUA